rnacentral:rRNA from 1 species
GACGAACGCUGGCGGCGUGCUUAACACAUGCAAGUCGAACGGAAAGGCCCUGCUUGCAGGGUACUCGAGUGGCGAACGGGUGAGUAACACGUGGGUGAUCUGCCCUGCACUUCGGGAUAAGCCUGGGAAACUGGGUCUAUUACCGGAUAGGAGCCAUUUUUAGUGUGGUGGUUGGAAAGUUUUUUCGGUGUAGGAUGAGCUCGCGGCCUAUCAGCUUGUUGGUGGGGUAAUGGCCUACCAAGGCGGCGACGGGUAGCCGGCCGGAGAGAGUGGACGGCCACAUUGGGACUGGGAUACGGCCCAGACGCCUACGGGAGGCAGCAGUGGGGAAUAUUGCACAAUGGGCGCGAGCCUGAUGCAGCGACGCCGCGUGGGGGAUGACGGCCUUCGGGUUGGAAACUCGUUUCGCUAGGGACGAAGCUUUUUGUGACGGUACCUAGAUAAGAAGCACCGGCUAACUACGUG